AAAAGCGGGUUUAAAGUAGUCAAGUAAACAUCGUUAUAAAGUUAUCCUCGUUAUAAAGUUAUCCUCGUUAUAAAGUUAUCCUCGUUAUACAUACAGACAUGCAUGUACCCCCAAAACCACAAAAAGCACAUCGCAAUAAUUAUUUUAAACACAUUCAAGUUAAAAAUGAAUUCCUGUUUUAGUAGACUUAAUUGGUAGUUUU